UGAAAAUAAGAAAUUUAAUUUGUUUUUGCUGUUUAUAGAAUUUUUUAAUUAAUAAAAUUAUUUUUAAGAAUUUGAGUUUUGGUAUAGGUUAUGGAUAAAAUUUUUAGGUUGAUAGUUUAUUUGUAUUGUAGGAGGUUAUUGAAAUAUUUUGAAAAUUUUAAUUUUUAAAAAGUAAUUUGAUUUGGUGUACCUUGUGUAUCAGGGUUUAUUAAAAAAUUUUUAAUUAUUUAAAUUUUCUCGAUUUUAAAAGGGUUAAUUAAUUUUGUUGUUUAUUGUGUAAUAAAUAUCAAUGAAAAUUAUUUAGUAAUGAAAUGUUAUUCGUUUUUAAAGAUAUCUAGUUUUUUGAGAAAUGAAUUUAAUUCAGCUGACAAUUGGUUUAUUGUAAUUGAUUAAUUAAUUUAUGGAGUUGAUUGUUAGUAAUAUUUUAGGGGAUAAGCUUUAGGAUAUUUUUUAAAAAGGAUUUGUUUAAGGAGGAAAUUAAGUAGGCUUAGAAUUAGCUGUCUAUAAAGAUGUUAUAAUUUUAUUUCUUUUUUUAAUUAUUUUCUUUAAUUUUGAGUUUUACAUCAAAAUUGUUUUAUUAAUUUUUAAUUAAUGGUUAUUAUGAUAGAAUUAGUAUAAGGUUUUUAUGUUAAAUAAGUUUUUAUUUUAUGUAAGGUUACAUUAAGGAAUUAGGCAAAUUUAUGCUCGCCUGUUUAACAAAAACAUGUCUUUAUGGGUUGAAAUAUAAAGUCUGACCUGCCCACUGAAAUUAUUUGAAGGGCCGCGGUAUUUUGACCGUGCAAAGGUAGCAUAGUCAUUAGUCUUUUAAUUGGAGGCUAGAAUGAAUGGUUGGACGAGGUAUAGACUGUCUCGGUGUUAUUGUGAUUAGAAUUUAACUUUUAAGUUAAAAGGCUUAAAUUUUUUUAAAGGACGAGAAGACCCUAUAGAGCUUUAUAUUAAAUAGUAUUUAUGUAUUUGUGGUUAAGUUGAUUUGUAUAUUAGACUGUGAAAUAUUUUGUUGGGGUGACAGGAAGAUUUUGUAAACUCUUUUUUAAAAAUUACAUUGAUUUAUGAUUGGUUGAUCCAUUAAUAGUGAUUAUAAGACUAAGUUACCUUAGGGAUAACAGCGUAAUCUUUUUUGAGAGUUCUUAUCGACGAAAAGGAUUGCGACCUCGAUGUUGGAUUAAAAGUAAUCUUGGGUGUAGAAGUUCAAGUUUUGAGUCUGUUCGACUUUUAAAUUUUUACAUGAUCUGAGUUCAGACCGGCGUAAGCCAGGUCGGUUUCUAUCUUUAAUGAUUUAUGAUGUUUUAGUACGAAAGGACCAAAUAUUGGAAAUAAUGUUUUUUAAAAAUUGAUUUAAAUUAAUAU
rnacentral:rRNA from 1 species